ensembl:lncRNA
CCCACAGCCAUGGGGGAGCCUUAUGGGUCCCUAUGGGGUCUCUAUGGGGUCUCUAUGGGUCCCUAUGGGCUCCCUAUGGGGUCUCUAUGGGGUUUCUAUGGGUCUGUGGCUCCCUAUGGGGUUCCUAUGGGGUCGCUAUGGGGUCGCUAUGGAGUCGCUAUAGGGCCCUGUUGUGCCCCACAGCCAUGGGGGAGCCUUAUGGGUCCCUGUGGGGUCCCUAUGGGUUUCUAUGGGUCUCUAUGGGUCUCUAUGUGCUCUGUGGGUCCCUAUGAGGUCUCUAUGUGUCCCUAUGGGGUCUCUAUGUGUCCCUAUGGGUCUCUAUGGGGUCUCUAUGUGUCUCUAUGGGUCUGUGGCUCCCUAUGGGUCCCUAUGGGUCUCUAUGGGGUACCUGUGGGGUCCCUAUGGAUCCCUAUGGGGUCUCUAUGGGUCCCUAUGGGAUCGCUAUAGGGCCGUGCUGUGCCCCACAGCCAUGGGGGAGCCUUAUGGGUCCCUAUGGGGUCGCUAUG